AUUGAACGCUGGCGGCAUGCUUUACACAUGCAAGUCGAACGGCAGCGGGGUAGUGCUUGCACUACUGCCGGCGAGUGGCGAACGGGUGAGUAAUAUAUCGGAACGUACCGAGUAAUGGGGGAUAACCAAUCGAAAGAUUGGCUAAUACCGUAUACGUCCUGAGGGAGAAAGCGGGGGAUCGCAAGACCUCGCGUUAUUCGAGCGGCCGAUAACUGAUUAGCUAGUUGGUGGGGUAAAGGCCUACCAAGGCGACGAUCAGUAGCGGGUCUGAGAGGACGAUCCGCCACACUGGGACUGAGACACGGCCCAGACUCCUACGGGAGGCAGCAGUGGGGAAUUUUGGACAAUGGGGGCAACCCUGAUCCAGCCAUGCCGCGUGUAUGAAGAAGGCCUUCGGGUUGUAAAGUACUUUUGUUAGGGAAGAAAAGGGAAGUGCUAAUACCACUUUUUGCUGACGGUACCUAAAGAAUAAGCACCGGCUAACUACGUG
rnacentral:rRNA from 1 species